CUUUUUUCUUGUGGUGCUGCAGAAGAUUCUUGAGAGUCCCUUGGACUUGAAGGAGCUCAAACCAGUCAAUUCUAAAGGAAAUCAGUCCUGAAUAUUCAUUGGAAGGACUGAUGCUGAAGCUGAAGCGCCAAUACUUUGGCCUCUUAAUGAGAAGAGCUGACUCAUUAGAAAGACCCUGAUGCUGGGAAAGAUUGAGGGCAAAAGGAGAAGGGGGUGGCAGAGGAUGGUUAGGUAGCAUCACUGACUCAAUGGACGUCAAUCUGAGCAAACUCUGGGAGAGAGUGGAGGACAGAGGAGCCUGGUGUGCUGCAGUCCAUGCCGUCGGAGAGUUGGACACGUCUUAGCAACUGAACAACAGCUAACUUUAUAAUGUUGCACUCACAAGGUGAUUGAAUUGCGGGUUGUUUUGUGGAAAGGACUUCCAAAAGAGGAAGAAGUACAGGUAAUGCAAGAUAAGAAAGAGUGAAGAGGAGCAAAAGUCUUUCUCAUUUGAUGUAGAGCAUUAGAAGAUUGCGCUUUCCUGUCACUACAUGCCCCAUUGCAGACAAACUGCUCCCACCUUGCAGAAUUGGUGGCAUCCUGGGACCUCAGGCAAAAUCAUGUUUCUGCCAAGUCGCUCCACAAUGUAUACACCGUUAGCAGUGUAACAGACCAUGCGACAAUUUACUGGUGGAUUUUUUGGCAUUCCCAAGAAUUGAUGCUUUUGAACUGUGGUGUGGGAGAAGACUCUCGAAAGUCCUUUGGACUGCAAGGAGAUCCAACCAGUCCAUUCUGAAGGAGAUCAGCCCUGGGUGUUCUUUGGAAGGAAUGAUGCUAAAGCUGAAACUCCAGUACUUUGGCCACCUCAUGCAAAGAGUUGACUCAUUGGAGAAGACUCUGAUGCUGGGAGGGAUUCUUGGCAAGAGGAGAAGGGGACAACAGAGGCUGAGAUGGCUGGAUGGCAUCACUGACUCGAUGGACAUGAGUCUGAGUUAACUCCGGGAGUUGGUGAUGGACAGGAAGUGCAUGGAGUCGCAAAGAGUCGGACAUGACUGAGCGACUGAACUGAACUGAACAACUCUCUGUGUUGUCUGAACUCAGCUGGGCAGCUCUCCUGCAGCUCAUGGCAAUAGCUGAGGUCACCCAUUGGGCUGCACUUGAGUACGGGCACACCUGGGGUGGGGAAGUCCAAGACAGCCUUCCUGGACUUCCUGGAGCUCUGAUGGGAACUGCUGAAAGGCUGUGAACUUUCCUCUUGGGUGGUGUCUCUGGGAGGACAACUGUGCCCCUUUACACAGUGGCUCAGAAUUCAUAGAGUAAAGGCAGACACUUGUAGGUCUUUUAAGGGCUAAGCUGGCAUUGUGUCACUUCCUCCCUAUUCUUUGGGAAGAGCCAGUCAGAAGACCAAUCUAGACCACCUAGAUUCAAGGUGAGG
rnacentral:lncRNA from 1 species